UGAGGGAGGGGGUGACAGGUGGCAGAGUGAGGGAGGUCACUCAGUCAGUCUGCCACCUGUCACCCCCUCCCUCACUCUGCCACCC